ensembl:lncRNA
AUCUUUUGCCAGAGAUCCCUGCCUACCUGAGGCCAUUCAAAGGCAUCAGCAAUACAUUGCUAAUUCUCCUGGGACAACCAAAGGGCAAAAUGCCAGGUUAUACUGCUUUUUAAUAAUGACAGAGGAAGACUGAAUCAACUGCAUUACUACUAAGCAAGGAGGAAAACCUUCAGUUUAGCUACCAACCAGAUCAUUACCACUGGAUCCCAGCAGUGCCUCAGAAGAGAGCAGCACAAGUUCCUACCUCUGGAAAUCACUCUGACUUGCCUGUUUUUCAUCAGUCCACAACCAUCAUGAAGUGAGAAAAUAAUCACAAGCACCGCACUGAAGUUUGGCAACAAUGAUCCACACUGUUCUUGUGCAGAGAUCAGUUACUGCUGCAUCAGUACAAGGACUGAUGCAGUUUCUUGCUCCUAAAAUUGAAGUGUUAUGUUGGUUCAACGUUUGCAAAACUACUGCAUUGGUAAAAUGAAGGAAGCAAAACUAGCAACACCAGAUAUAAACUCAGUCACAAGAAAUUAGCAUCGGGAGCCUGUAUGACUUAACUCAGGCAUGUCUAGGCCACAGGCUGCAUGCAUCCCAGUCAAACCUCACCCUGCAGCAGCAUGGUGGCAGCUCUUUCCUAUCAAGCAGCCUGGCUCAGCCCCACACACACACACCCAUCACUCAGCAGCAACCAAACAUUGGUGUGCUAUUAACACGGUCUCAACUGAAACCACAACAAGGGAAGGGUGCAGUGCAGUAGUAACUCAAGUUAUGCGAAUAAAUUUGAGCACUCUGAUAGCUUGGAUAAGCACAGUCCUGUGAAUAAUGAAAAAAAAAAAUACUGCCUUCCUUUCAGUUUUUCUUCAAAUUCCAUAAAGGAAUUUGAUAAUAGGUUUCAAGAUCAGAAAAAAACCCACUUUUUUUUUUUUAAUACAUUUGCAACUCCACUUUCAGUCAACAAAAUAAAUUGCCUGCAAAUUUUCAAAUGGAGUGUAUAGAACUGCCAUCAGACAGUCAACUCAACAAUGUGACUGUGUCUCUUCACUAUACUUUUACAAGCCUCCUCUUACCAGAGAGAAACAUCCCUUGUUUCACAGUCACACCUUACUCCUGUGAUCGCUGUCAGGCAGUGCAUACAUUUGUGAACAACUUCUUUCAAGGAUGAAGCACAGGAGGAGUAAAUUUCACCAAAAAUCAAAAAAAAAACACCUUCAGAGCUCAGUAAGAACUGCAGCCACUGCCAGUGAACCAGACUGAUGCAUUAGUUUCACAGAAACAAGGUCACAUAUCCCACCAGUGCUAUGGUGUGGUUGCUCUUUUUAAAAUGUUUUAAUAAAAAUAAUAAUAAAAAAGUGUUAAAAAAUAAAAUAGGCUGUGUU